rnacentral:miRNA from 15 species
AGUUGGAUUACCUCUGGAGUCCCUCAAACAAUUCAGUAGGGCUCUUUGAGCUUAAACUUGAGAGCUGGUUCUCACUGAAGUGUUUGGGGGAACUCUGGAUGUCAUCCAACA